rnacentral:rRNA from 1 species
GAUUAAGCCAUGCAUGUCUAAGUAUAAGCAAUCUAUACGGUGAAACUGCGAAUGGCUCAUUAAAUCAGUUAUCGUUUAUUUGAUAGUACCUUACUACAUGGAUAACCGUGGUAAUUCUAGAGCUAAUACAUGCUAAAAACCCCGACUUCGGRAGGGGUGUAUUUAUUAGAUAAAAAACCAAUGCCCUUCGGGGCUCCUUGGUGAUUCAUGAUAACUUAACGAAUCGCAUGGCCUUGCGCCGGCGAUGGUUCAUUCAAAUUUCUGCCCUAUCAACUUUCGAUGGUAGGAUAGUGGCCUACCAUGGUAUCAACGGGUAACGGGGAAUUAGGGUUCUAUUCCGGAGAGGGAGCCUGAGAAACGGCUACCACAUCCAAGGAAGGCAGCAGGCGCGCAAAUUACCCAAUCCCGACRCGGGGAGGUAGUGACAAUAAAUACUGAUACAGGGCUCUUUUGGGUCUUGUAAUUGGAAUGAGUACAAUUUAAAUCCCUUAACGAGGAACAAUUGGAGGGCAAGUCUGGUGCCAGCAGCCGCGGUAAUUCCAGCUCCAAUAGCGUAUAUUAAAGUUGUUGCAGUUAAAAAGCUCGUAGUUGAACCUUGGGCCUGGCUGGCCGGUCCGCCUCACCGCGUGYACUGGUCCGGCCGGGCCUUUCCUUCUGGGGAGCCGCAUGCCCUUCRCUGGGCGUGCCGGGGAACCAGGACUUUUACUUUGAAAAAAUUAGAGUGUUCAAAGCAGGCCUUUGCUCGAAUACAUUAGCA